GUAGCGGGCGGCAAAUUAAUCCUUCCCUUCUUGGGUGCCGGCAGCUAAUAAGGACGUGGCCCUGUGGCCGGGGCUCAUCACACUCUUGGAGAGCAUCAGAGCAUCUCCCUGUGCCUAUUACGGUGAUGUCAUCUGGACUGAGUACAAGACGGUGAGACGGAUGCGUGCCCUUCCUCGGAGUCAGGUUCUAAACGUUCACAGCCUUGCCCGGAGAGGAGGAAGAGUCCCCCUGGAUUCUCCUUGGCGGUCUGCACCAGGAGCUGGGCAGCGGCCGCAGAGUCCCAGGAAUGCUGCAUCUGUACCCUCCCCAGCACCUCAUCCUGUUGCCCGCCGGGCUUGGGGAGCUGGCAAGUAUGACACCAAGACUAACGAGUCCGUUGUUUCUCUUCCCUCCACAGCCUCCAGCGGAUUUCAAGAAUGA
rnacentral:lncRNA from 1 species